CUUCUGUUCACCAGCACUAUGGCAAAACAGCGGGGCGAGGCGUCAAGACUUACACAGAUAACUACAAAUUCCUUGGCCUGGAUAAUGUUCCGCUGGAGAAAUGAGACAAGCUUCGUCUCCAUGCGAAACUACGACGAGCUGCUGCUGUUGUUGUUGUUGGGAUGCUUGCUGGAAUUGUUCGAAAGGAGGAAAUAUCAUGCUGUUCGGACCGCUACAAUCCAGUGUAUCGUCAAUGCCGUUGUCAGCGAGCUGUCAAGUGAAAAAGACUAGGAGAAAUGAAAUAUGAAGACGGACGGUUGACAGUAUUGAGGUGGGUAAGGAUGGGAGGAGAAUGGGUCGGACAUUUUUUUUUUUUUACACUUUUGGCGGGGUUUCAAGGAUCAAGAUGAAGGAAGGAUGUGAAGGGGAAAAGGAUAUAGAAUGGAGAGACAUCCGUCCGACAUCAUUGAUGAUCAUAUAUUUUAUAUCAGAGGCUAACUUCUCACAUCUAAUGCAUAUAGACAACAGGUCCUGGAAAUGGCACUCGGCGCCCGACAAAGUGGAUCAGAUAUACGGGCGAUGGGCGCAAAAUGUCUUAACGAAUGAUGGAAGCUGUCGUCAAAAAGCGGGAAGUCACAACAACAAACGACGAGCAACGAGCGACAAGACAACAUGAUCAACAUCACUCACGCUGCAUCGCAAUACUCGAGCACAUGACGAUCAAUGGCUUCCAUCUUUUCAUCGCAUUUCAUUCCAAGUCAGAUUAUGAUCUACGCACGACUGCCCAACGCCCAACAUAUUUUGAAAUGGCUACACCUUAAUCGCUGAAUAUACAGAUCACCUCAAAGGGCCCUUCCUUUGGUCUGUUCCUGACCCCUGUGCUAUUGCUAUUAUCCUCAACCCCUGGUACCUAUAAGCUCGAAUAUCACGGUAUCGGGCAUUCGCCCAUCGUGACCCAUUUUGCUCAACACAUCCUUCCCUUCUUUUCUUUCCUGGCGGACUCUGAAAUUUACUGAUCAGUUGACAUAAGGACAAAGGCUGGAAAAGGAAUAGGGGAAAUAGGUGAUGGGCGAAUAGACGGCAUGUAGAAUGAUGACAUCAGGCACUGAUCCCAUCAGAUUCCUUCUAUGGGCGAUAGAUAACCUCAACGGAUCGACAAAGCGAUGGACAGCAAUCAACUUGGAUGAUUCGACGCUUGAUGCACGGCCUGAUCCCGAAAUCAUCAAAUUGUGUCUCUGUGCCUACUGCUAGCCAUCAUCCAUCAGCCAUGCGGCAUGCGGCAUGAUACGAUUAACAGAUGGCAUAGCAGAGAUCAGACCUUCCACGUUCAAGUUCAGAAUGCCGUGGAACUUUUGAUUAUCCCCGAAACCGAGAUCCAUCUCAGCGACCAUCUCCCACAUAUUACCAGUCAUGUAUUCUCUCUCCACUGCUUCAUCAGACUCUGGAGCACCGUCUUUACGCCUCUCUCGCACUCUUCAACACCACCCCGUUCACUUUCCCAGAAAACAUCUUCAUUCCUCUUCUCUUCCCUUCCCCUCCUGGUGCACCUCCAAACGCCCUCUUCUUCGCUGAUGCACCGCUGCUAAACCCAAAGUCGAGACCAUCAUCCUCCUGCGCGGAAGAGACAGGAGAAGAUGACCGGUGGACAGAGGAUGGCUUGGGUGCGAAAGGAUUGGAGCGCGUAGUACGUUCUUGUACCUGGGUAGCGGCAACAGGGGAGGACAUUGGUGGGGCUAAAGAUGGUUGUGAAGGUUGGGAAUUGGGAUGUCCAAUGGGUGGGGAUGGUUUUCCAGGUGUUGAUAUGGAAGACGAUAUACUUGUAUUGCCACGACUAGGAGUCUUGCCCACCAGCCGAGAGUGUGGGGCAAAGGGAGAAGGUUUCUUCGGCGGAGGAGGCAAGGGACGCGCAGAGCCAGUGUACUUGCGGGGAUAGUACUUGCUGGCGAAGGGUUUCGAAGUGUAUGGCUUUUUAAAUGGAUUCUGAGAAUCGUCUGAUGCUCGGGAAAUACUUGACGAUGAUCCUGUGGAUGGGACCGUGGUGGUAGUGCUUGAAGGAUCAACUACAUAACGUUCCAUUCGACGCCGGACAAUUUCUUCGCUCCCCGUACUCGUCUGUGUUGGAAGAACAUUACCGUCCGUCGGUCCAGAUGUCCUAACCCGACCUGGCGCUUGCGCAUUGGCAGUCGCUUUGUUCGCUUCUCCUGCCUGCCUCAAUGCCUCUCUCACACUUUCCGUCGCCUGCAUAAUAUCACCCACCAUCUUCCCCCUCUUCUCCGCCAUUUGCCCUUCCCUCGCCCAAUUCGUCUCUUUCGUCCGCAUCCCCAUCUGUGUCUGAGCAAGCGAGUUGGCUGUGGUGUAUGUGAGCCGGAACCAUUGGUCAUGGACCACGCGGACAAGCAUGAGUCGCCGGUCACCUUCACCUUGACCCCGCGCAUUUGCUUGGGUUGCCUCGGCCCUUAACGUGGGUUGGGCGUUUGAAUAUGUAGAGGUAGAAGCAGAAGCGGCCGAAUAGAAGUUCUUUGCCUGGCCAUCGGCAUCGUCCCACCAUUCUCCUGCUUGGGCUGCUGCAGCAGCGCCAGCAGCCUUUGCUUUUGGGGCCUUGCUAGGUUUUUUCUCCUUGUGCAGUUUACCAGCCAAAUGCGCUUGCCCUUUUCUCACUUCCUGCAUCGUUCCGUUGAGUUUUUUGGAGAUUGUCCGUUUCCGUUUUUCCGCCGGGGUCGGGUCCUCCUCUUCCAUUUCAGAGAAGACAUCUUCAUGAGACGGAGAUGAAAGAUCGGAAAGAGAAACGGAUGUACCGAAUGGUUGAAAAUCACCAUCUUCGUCGACGCAGCUUGAAAGAUUAGAGCCAUAGAUGAAACCGAAGCCUGGAAUGUAGGACUUGCCUCUCGUCGGCACUGAGCUGGAUGAUGGGACAGUCCGAGAUGAAGGCGGAAGGAACUUGUCGGGUAUGGGCCUUGAAGUUGAAGUGAUAUUCAAUGAGACGAGAUCAGACUUUUCGUUGGGGAGUUUGAUAAGGGUCAAACACAGGCUUGAGAUAAUAUCGGCUGGCGGGAGAUUUGAAGCAAAGAGUGGGACGAGGCCGUCGUUACAAGCUUGAAAUUUCGGGUUCUGCCCUGAGAAAACGGCUUGGGAUGUGCGGUUGAUAACGGCGAUGGAAGUUUCGGUACAGGAUGUAUCUCUCAGAUCUGUAGAAAUGAGUGUCAGCGAUGAAUAAUAGAGAAGGGAAAACAGGACUCGCCCAAGGCUACUAGUCCCGGCCACCUAGCGAAGACUUUUGCACUUCUAUCGCUAACAUUCC
rnacentral:sRNA from 1 species